rnacentral:lncRNA from 1 species
AAAAACCCAUUCUUAACGAAGGAUGGGAAAAAUGGUGCCUUCACAAGUGACCUCUCUUGUGGUCACUCUCCUAGUGGCAAUAGUCUCUCUCACAUUGCCUUCAGAAACUUCAGCUAACUACCCUUACACCUCUCCACCACCACCGGCCUCUCCUCCCUACCAUUACAAGUCACCACCGCCUCCUUCUCCUUCUCCUCCAGUGCACUACUCACCACCUAAGCAUCCCUACCACCCUAAGUCACCACCACCUCCUGUGUACGCACCACCUAAGCAUCCCUACCACCCUAAGUCACCACCACCUCCUGUGUACCCACCACCUAAGCAUCCCUACCACCCCAAGUCACCACCACCAUCACCAAAGCCUUACCACUACAAAUCCCCACCACCACCUCCUGCUCCAGUGCACUCACCACCCCCACCUAAGGAGCCAUACCACUACAAGUCCCCACCACCACCACCCAAGAAGCCCUACCACUACAAAUCUCCCCCACCACCUCCUCCUCCAGUUCACUCACCACCACCACCCAAGGAGCCUUACCACUACAAAUCUCCACCACCACCACCCAAGAAACCUUACUAUUACAAGUCUCCUCCACCACCACCAAAGAAGCCUUACCACUACAUGUCUCCUCCCCCACCGGUGUACUCACCACCUCCACCAGUGCACUCACACCCACCACCAAAAAAGCCUUACCAUUACAAAUCUCCUCCCCCGCCAGAAUAUUCACCAGCUCCACCAGUGCACUCAACCCCACCACCAAAGAAGCCCUACCAUUACAAAUCCCCACCACCACCACCACCACACAAGAAGCCUUAUUACCCUGUUCACUCACCACCUCCACCUAAGAAGCCUUACCACUACAAAUCCCCACCACCACCUUCUCCUACUCCUCCUAAAUACUCACCACCUAAGCACCCCUACCACUACAAGUCUCCACCACCACCACCAAAGAAGCCUUACCAUUACAAGUCCCCACCACCUCCUUCUCCUACUCCCCCUAAAUACUCACCACCUAAGCACCCCUACCACUACAAGUCACCACCACCACCACCCCAAGAAGCCUUACCACUACAAGUCUCCACCACCACCACCUCCUCCAGUUCCCACACCAUCUCCACCCAAGAAACCUUACCACUACAAGUCUCCCCCACCACCCCCUCCAGUCUACAAGUCUCCUCCACCACCAGUUUACUCACCACCACCACCACCUAAGAAACCUUACAAGCCACCAACUCCUCCAGCAGUUCACCCACCACACGGUUACAUCUAUUCCUCACCCCCACCUCCUCACCACUACUAGAUAUUGAAAGUUUAAUUGCAUCAAGCUGGUAAGCUUCUCCAUUCUAUGCUAUUAUUCAUUAAUUAGUUAGUACUACUGUUGUCAAUUUGGAAAUCACCAUACAACCAAAUGCACACUCUGACGAAAUAACAUAUAAAUUCUAAUUGAAUAGUCUUUAUUUCCAUUUUUGGCUAAUAAUCCUUAUUAGCAUAUGGAUAAUGUAUUUCCAACAUAUCGUUAUUAACUUAUUACUCAAUUAAUAUUUCUUUUUCUUUAAAUUCAGUAGCCGUGUGUAACAAAUAGACCAAUGGCAGAGACCCAACAAAUAACAAUAAUAUGUCUUUGCAGGUAAGGGAAGAAGAAAGGUCAGAAUAAAGAGGGGCUGUUGAAGUCGAACAGCGCGCCUUAUUACCACACAAAGAAGAAGAGAGAGAAAAAAACGAGUCUCCACGCAGCUGCUGAUGUGACGUGUUUUAUGUAUGCGAUAUUCGAUAGAGGUUCAUAUUUUCCUUGGAAUAUUAGAC